UUCCUUUCUGAAGAGCUGAAGUUUCUAUGACUAUGGAAUGUGUAUUCCGAUGUCAUUACAUUCAAGGAGUCAGCUGACAAAUCAGGAGGCUCAUUUGCUGCCACCACUCCAGUAGUACUGGCUCCAGAAGGCUACGUACACUACCCUCUCCUCUCUGCCCACACUACAGUUACUUGAGCAACAACACCUAUUCCUACAGAAUCUGGCCUCUGAAAGCAUCCCAGUGGGAUGUCAACAGUGGAAUACCAUCUCAGUUCUGUGGCAGUCUCCUUUCACAGCUGCAGGCUUCCGGGUCCCCUCCCCGUCUCUGGCUCCAAUGUGUCCUGUCUGUGAAGGGACUGCGCAAACCUCACCCGACAUUCCUGAUGAAAGAUGUCCAUGCAAGCAGCAUAACCACAGGCUGGUCUUCUGUACCUCUUGGUGAUGCCCCAUAAUAUGAUGCCGCCUUCCAAUUCCACAGAAAGUGUGCAGCCCUCUCACUCAGCUAAGACAUUCUACUGGUACCCACUCUAUGAAAGCACAGAGACCUUGUGGUACCAUAAGGCCAGCAAGCUGAUUCCAGCAGUUCCCACCAUGACACCAAGGAUCAACUCUUUGUUUGUGGAAGCAGGCAUUUCUUGGCUUUUAAUUUCUAAAAUUAAAAAAGGAAA